AAGCCAUGAUGUGGACAUUGUCUUUGAAGAUUUUUAAACCUCUUCCAAGCUUUAUGUAAUGUCUCGUCUUCCUUCUGAGCAAAGGUACUAAUAUUAUUCCUUAGUUU